rnacentral:rRNA from 2 species
GAGACUGCCAGUGAUAAACUGGAGGAAGGUGGGGAUGACGUCAAGUCAUCAUGGCCCUUACGACCAGGGCUACACACGUGCUACAAUGGCGCAUACAAAGAGAAGCGACCUCGCGAGAGCAAGCGGACCUCAUAAAGUGCGUCGUAGUCCGGAUUGGAGUCUGCAACUCGACUCCAUGAAGUCGGAAUCGCUAGUAAUCGUGGAUCAGAAUGCCACGGUGAAUACGUUCCCGGGCCUUGUACACACCGCCCGUCACACCAUGGGAGUGGGUUGCAAAAGAAGUAGGUAGCUUAACCUUCGGGAGGGCGCUUACCACUUUGUGAUUCAUGACUGGGGUGAAGUCGUAACAAGGUAACCGUAGGGGAACCUGCGGUUGGAUCACCUCCUUACCUUAAAGAAGC